rnacentral:ncRNA from 2 species
CAUUAUCUUCAGGGCGGGGCGCAAUUCCCCACCGGCGGUAUUUUUAUUUUGAAAUAAAAAAGCCCGCGAGCGAUUUGUGAUUUAAUGCACAAAAAGCAGAUCUGGUUUAAUGCCAGAGCCGACGGUAUAGUCCGGAUAGGAGAAGAUAAAA